AAGUCGUAACAAGGUUUCCGUAGGUGAACCUGCGGAAGGAUCAUUACCGAGUGCGGACCCUCUGGGUCCAACCUCCCAUCCGUGUCUAUUCAUACCCUGUUGCUUCGGCGGGCCCGCUUGGCUGUCCCCCCCCUCCUGGGGAGGGGGCUGCCGGCCGCCGGGGGGCUACCCUGCCCCCGGGCCCGUGCCCGCCGGGGACACCAACACUGAACACUGUCUGAAGGUUGCAGUCUGAGUUUUCAUAAAGAAAAAUUGUUAAAACUUUCAACAACGGAUCUCUUGGUUCCG
rnacentral:misc_RNA from 1 species